rnacentral:rRNA from 1 species
UACGGAAGGGGCUAGCGUUGUUCGGAAUUACUGGGCGUAAAGCGCGCGUAGGCCGUUGAGUUAGUUAAUUGUGAAAUCCCAAAGCUUAACUUUGGAACUGCAAUUAAAACUGCUCGACUAGAGUUUGAUAGAGGAAAGGGAAUACAUAGUGUAGAGGUGAAAUUCGUAGAUAUUAUGUAGAACACCAGUUGCGAAGGCGGCUUUCUGGAUCAACACUGACGCUGAGGCGCGAAAGUAUGGGUAGCAAAGAGGAUUAGAUACCCUCGUAGUCCAUACCAUAAACGAUGAUUGCUAGAUGUUGGAAAUUUAUUUUCAGUAUCGCAGCUAACGCAUUAAGCAAUCCGCCUGGGGAGUACGACCGCAAGGUUAAAACUCAAAGGAAU